GGUGGUUAUAGCGACGGGGCUCACCUCUUACCUUUCCGAACAGAGAAGUUAAGCCCGUUAGCGCCGAUGGUACUGCAUUUGUGGGAGAGUAGGUCGUUGCCUU
rnacentral:rRNA from 1 species